UGGGGAAUAUUGCACAAUGGGCGAAAGCCUGAUGCAGCAACGCCGCGUGAGCGAUGAAGGCCUUUGGGUCGUAAAGCUCUGUCCUUGGGGAAGAAAAAAAUGACGGUACCCUUGGAGGAAGCCCCGGCUAACUACGUGCCAGCAGCCGCGGUAAUACGUAGGGGGCAAGCGUUAUCCGGAAUUAUUGGGCGUAAAGAGUGCGUAGGUGGUUUUGUAAGCGCGGGGUGAAAGGCAAUAGCUCAACUAUUGUAAGCCCUGCGAACUGUGAGACUUGAGUGCAGGAGAGGAUAGCGGAAUUCCUAGUGUAGCGGUGAAAUGCGUAGAUAUUAGGAGGAACACCAGUGGCGAAGGCGGCUUUCUGGACUGUAACUGACACUGAGGCACGAAAGCGUGGGGAGCAAACA
rnacentral:rRNA from 1 species